AUUGAACGCUGGCGGCAGGCCUAACACAUGCAAGUCGAGCGAGCGGCGGACGGGUGAGUAAUGUAUGGGGACUGCCCGUUAGAGGGGGGUAACUACUGGAAACGGUAGCUAAUAACGCAUACUAUCGGAUAACCCAUAUGGGAUUAGCUAGUAGGUGAGGUGAUGGCUCACCUAGGCGACGAGCCCUAGCUGGGCUGAGAGGAUGAUCAGCCAAACUGGCACUGAGACACGGCCCUGACUCCUACGGAGGCAGCAGUGCGGCAUAUUGCACAAUGGGCGCAAGCCUGAUGCAGCCAUGCCGCGUGUAUGAAGAAGGCCCUAGGGUUGUAAAGUACUUUCAGUCGGGAGGCGUUACCUACAGAAGAAGCACCGGCUAACUCCGUGCCAGCAGCCGCGGUAAUUC
rnacentral:rRNA from 1 species